UUUUUUCAAUUAAAUUUAUUGAGACUUAAAAAUAGUAAUAAAUAUUUGUGCAAGGUUUUUUUAUAAAACAGUCAUGAUAAGAUCAUAUAAUCUGUAGUGUUUAGAUCUUUGCUUUUAAAAUGCAAUUCUAGACAAAUAUUAAAUGCCACAAUUAUAAAACAAAUGCAGGUGACAUAAAUCAAGCAAUCUCAUUAUGAUUGACAGAAAGGGCAUAAAUUAAUGAAACCUUAAAAGGAGCUUUUUUUAAUAUAAUACACUUGUGUCUUAACACAUCUUCAGACAAGGUCGUGUAGAGGUGGCAUUGUAGCUCAAAUAUUUUUAUUCUGAAUUUUGAGAAUAGCCUUGUCUAACCCAUCUUUAAAUAAUAUCUAAAAACUUUAAGUGAUGGGAAUAAAGAAAUGACUACGUCUAUUUUUUGAGAUAGUAAAGAGAUGAUCACAUUAACUCUCAGAAACAGAAAUUCUUUAAUUCUACUUCAUCUGCCCUUUAGAAUUGAGAGACAAAACACCAUCAUAUAUAGCAACAAUAAACACAGUUUGAUUCUCCUUGGACAUAUAAUGUAACACAAAAAUGUUAACGUCAUUUAGUUCUACCACUACAGUUCGCUAAUGGUUAGGUUUAUCAAAAAUUAUCCAAACCGUUUAGUUGAAAAAAUGGUGCAAUUCUCUUAAAAACAAACUGCAGUUCUAGUGCCAAGUUAAGCAUUUUUUAAAAUUUCCACUAACAAUAAUAUUCUAAAAUUACUUUUUCUUUUGUAAAGUGUGUGAACAUAAUAUAGCAAAAUUUAACUUAAAUGUUGUAGACUGAGUGUCAAUGUCUCAAUAUUUUUUUAGUGCAGCAAAUCUAAAGCCAUUUAUGACUAUAAAAAGACAUAAAAAUAAUCAGUUCUGGAGAUACUGAGAAAUACUGUAUGUUAAAAAAAAAUGUAUACGAAUCAAAUGGUGUAUGGUAUCAAAUACAUUUUUGUUUUAGGAAAAUUUUAUAUAUAGUCAUUAUUGAUGCAAAAGUUUUGGUGGCCAUACAGACUGCUUAACUUUUAACAUUCUUGGAAAACAAUUUUUUUAGACUCUAAUAGCAACUGUUUUAAUAAGUAACGUUAAAAAGUGCUAUCAAUCUUCUCCAGACAUCAUUUUAUUCCUAAUUUAGUUCAAUGUACAUUCC